GCACUGGUAGUUCAGUGGUAGAAUUCUCACCUUCCAUGGAGGACAACUGGGUUCGAUUCUCAGCCAGUUCA
rnacentral:tRNA from 1 species